UACGGGAGGCAGCAGUGGGGAAUAUUGCACAAUGGACGAAAGCCUGAUGCAGCUAUGCCGCGUGUAUGAAGAAGGCCUUAGGGUUGUAAAGUACUUUUCAUCGGGGAGGAAAAAACAAAACUAAUAAUUUUAUUUCUUGACGUUACCCGAAAAAGAAGCACCGGCUAACUCCGUGCCAGCAGCCGCGGUAAUACGGAGGGUGCUAGCGUUAAUCAGAAUUACUGGGCGUAAAGAGCACGUAGGUGGUUUUUUUAAGUCAGAUGUGAAAUCCCUGGGCUUAAACCUGGAACUGCAUUUUGAAACUGAAAUACUAGAGUAUCGUAGAGGGAGGUAGAAUUCUAGGUGUAGCGGUGAAAUGCGUAGAUAUCUGGAGGAAUACCUGUGGCGAAAGCGGCCUCCUAAACGAAUACUGACACUGAGGUGCGAAAAGCGUGGGGAGCAAACAGGGAUUAGAUACC
rnacentral:rRNA from 1 species